rnacentral:rRNA from 1 species
GACGAACGCUGGCGGCGUGCUUAACACAUGCAAGUCGAACGGAAAGGCCCUGCUUUUGUGGGGUGCUCGAGUGGCGAACGGGUGAGUAACACGUGAGUAACCUGCCCUUGACUUUGGGAUAACUUCAGGAAACUGGGGCUAAUACCGGAUAGGAGCUCCUGCUGCAUGGUGGGGGUUGGAAAGUUUCGGCGGUUGGGGAUGGACUGGCGGCUUAUCAGCUUGUUGGUGGGGUAGUGGCUUACCAAGGCUUUGACGGGUAGCCGGCCUGAGAGGGUGACCGGCCACAUUGGGAUUGAGAUACGGCCCAGACUCCUACGGGAGGCAGGAGUGGGGAAUAUUGCACAAUGGGCGGAAGCCUGAUGCAGCAACGCCGCGUGCGGGAUGACGGCCUUCGGGUUGUAAACCGCUUUCGCCUGGGACGAAGCGUUAGUGACGGUAAUGGGUAAAGAAGCACCGGCUAACUACGUG